rnacentral:lncRNA from 1 species
CUCAGGGAAAAUUUGAAGAUGGUGUCCACUUCUCAGCUCCUUGGACUUUUGCUUUUCUGGACUUCAGCCUCCAGAUGUGACAUUGUGAUGACUCAGUCUCCAGCCACCCUGUCUGUGACUCCAGGAGAUAGAGUCUCUCUUUCCUGCAGGGCCAGCCAGAGUAUUAGCGACUACUUACACUGGUAUCAACAAAAAUCACAUGAGUCUCCAAGGCUUCUCAUCAAAUAUGCUUCCCAAUCCAUCUCUGGGAUCCCCUCCAGGUUCAGUGGCAGUGGAUCAGGGUCAGAUUUCACUCUCAGUAUCAACAGUGUGGAACCUGAAGAUGUUGGAGUGUAUUACUGUCAAAAUGGUCACAGCUUUCCU